UACGUAGGGGGCAAGCGUUGUCCGGAUUUAUUGGGCGUAAAGAGCGUGUAGGCGGUCAGGUAGGUCCGUUGUGAAAACUCGAGGCUCAACCUCGAGACGCCGAUGGAAACCAUCUGACUAGAGUCCGGAAGAGGAGAGUGGAAUUCCUGGUGUAGCGGUGAAAUGCGCAGAUAUCAGGAAGAACACCCGUGGCUAAGGCGGCUCUCUGGGCCGAUACUGACGCUGAGGAGCGAAAGCGUGGGGAGCGAACAGG
rnacentral:rRNA from 1 species